ensembl:antisense A930012L18Rik RIKEN cDNA A930012L18 gene
AAACCCGAGCUCCGAACCUCAGCAGUUCCUUACCUCGCUCAGCUCGGCUGAGGAGUCGUUGCCAUAUUUCACCGCAACUCCAGAAUUCAUGCCUGCACUUUUCAGAGCCGGGCUCGUCCCCAGACCUCGGAGCGUAGGAGCCGGGCUUAGGCUGGAUAGCCUGGGCUUGCUCCCCGCCGGCACAUUUCAGUCUAGACAGCCAUUUUCACCCAGGACAGCAGCGAGGCCAGAAAGGAUGGAGAAGCUCGGCACGGGUAAGUCCGGCUGGAAUCUCACCAGCGAGCCAUAGCUGCGGGAGACUGGGCAGCGGGUUGCGCUCGCAGCAGCUGCAGCGGCCGAGCCGGCGCCGGGACCCGCCCGCGCGCCCACCGCGGAGUCCCGGGGCGAUGCCACCCUCCGCGCCGCCUCGCCCCUCCUACGGUACCAAGCAGAUCCCCAUUACCCGGCAGGCGGGCAGUUCGCGCCGGCGCCCAGCAGAGCUCGGGUACCCUCCGGGAGAAGCCUGGGCACCAGUGCGAGGACGAUAUGUGCCUCCGGUUCCCGGGAGGAAAGAGCUGGAGAGAGCCGGAGCCGAGCAGCACUUCACGCCGAAGUUUCCCCCUUUGAAUCGUCUGGAGUUAUCUCUUUAAAAUAUAUCAGAUUUUUCUCCAUGGAGGGAAAACUGAUCAGUGCAAAUUAGAGAUUUGGAAGCCCCCCUCCCCCAGGGACAAAUUUUUUUAAAAGCUCUCUCUCUCUGCUUCCUGUCCAUCAUGACAGGAUCAGUCUCCUCUUCUGGCACAGGGUUCUGUUGCCAUGAUUUUCUGCCUUCCCACGAGCUCAGAACCAGCAGAGCCCAUGAUUAUGGAUGGACUGAGAUUUCUGAAACCGGUCGUUUUGGCUGUUCCAAGCCUCUCAUGUUUCAACAUGAAUAUUGGAAUCAAGCUGCUGGUAUGUAAAGAGGCCAGAAUUUGGAGACAUUUACCUCUUAAUAUUAAGCCUGCUGACCCACGUAUGGGGACUUUGCUUUCAUGAAACUGUUUUAAAACAGUUUUAUAUGUCUCUCAUUAAAUUUAUUACUACAUAUUUUUUCUUCUUCUUCCCCACCCCCUCUCUUAGUUUUUUUAGACAGGAUUUUUCUGUGUAGCCCUUGCUGUCCUGAACUCUCUUUGGCCUCCUCCUCAGAGAUAUGCCUGCCUCUGUUGCUUGAGGGUUGGAAUUAAAGGGGUGUGCCACCACUACCUGGCUUUUUCUUUUCUUUUCUUUUUUAAAAUUGAUCUAAUGUAAAUAGGCUUUAUUUAUUUGAUUAUGAGGAGUGAAGCUCUUUAAAAAUACUGCCAGACGCCUCGUAACCCUCCCAUCUGCAAGGCUACCGUGGCAGAGUCCUCUCAAAAGCUCACGUUGAAACUUAACCCUCUAUGCAACGGCAUUAAGAAGUAUGGCUUUAGUGGCGCUCUGAAGUCACAAAUAAGACUGCUGCCUAUGUAAGAAGGCUUUGGACUUAAAGGGAAACUCUUUCUGCUUGUCUGAUUUUUCCAUUGGGUGUUUACAGCAUUUCCCCCUUCAGGGGAUGUGGUAACACAGUGGUCUGCGAUAGGCACCAGUCCUACUGGCAACUUGAUCUUGCACUUCCAAGUCUCGAGAACUCUGAGAAGCAGAUUUCUGUUCCUUCUAAGUUUCCCCAAUCUGUGGCAUUCUGGGACAGCCGUGUAGCUAAUGAUAGCCCCUUUGGCUCGAGGGAAAGUUUGAAGAGACGUUUUGCAUGUUAGAUUUUUUUCAUCACUGCAACAGAUACCAGAGAAACAAUUUAAAGGAGGAAAGAUUUAUUUUAGCUCAGGGUUUCCAUGGUUUAGUUCAAGCAUCGUGGCUCUGUGGAUCUGGGCUAUGGUUAGGCAGAAUACCAUGGCAACAGAGAGCAUGGCAGGGACUACUCAUAGCAUUACAAGCAAGAGGUCAAGAGAGGUAAGGGAAGAGUCUCGGGGCUAGAUAGUCUCUUCAAGUCCCCAGUGACAAAUCUUCUCCAACCAGGGCACGCACACACACACACACACUCCUGUAGCUGCCAGUCAGUGGAUCAUUCUAGAGCCCUCACAAAAAUUACCCAUCUGUGAAUGAUUGGACCUACAAUAUAGAGACUAAAGCUUCAACAAACAAGAAUGGGGAGCUGUACUUAACAACUAAACCAUAAUAAACAUUUGAAA